UAGGGAAUCUUCGGCUAAUGGACGGAAGUCUGACCGAGCAACGCCGCGUGAGUGAAGAAGGUUUUCGGAUCGUAAAGCUCUGUUGUAAGAGAAGAACGAGUGUGAGAGUGGAAAGUUCACACUGUGACGGUAUCUUACCAGAAAGGGACGGCUAACUACGUGCCAGCAGCCGCGGUAAUACGUAGGUCCCGAGCGUUGUCCGGAUUUAUUGGGCGUAAAGCGAGCGCAGGCGGUUAGAUAAGUCUGAAGUUAAAGGCUGUGGCUUAACCAUAGUACGCUUUGGAAACUGUUUAACUUGAGUGCAAGAGGGGAGAGUGGAAUUCCAUGUGUAGCGGUGAAAUGCGUAGAUAUAUGGAGGAACACCGGUGGCGAAAGCGGCUCUCUGGCUUGUAACUGACGCUGAGGCUCGAAAGCGUGGGGAGCAAACAGGAUUAGAUACCCUGGUAGUCCACGCCGUAAACGAUGAGUGCUAGGUGUUAGACCCUUUCCGGGGUUUAGUGCCGCAGCUAACGCAUUAAGCACUCCGCCUGGGGAGUACGACCGCAAGGUUGA
rnacentral:rRNA from 1 species